GACGAACGCUGGCGGCGUGCUUAACACAUGCAAGUCGAACGAGAUCCAUGGUGUAGCAAUACACCGGAAGAUCUAGUGGCGAACGGGUGAGGAUCACGUGAGAAACCUGCCCCAGACUUUGGGAUAACAAGUGGAAACGCUUGCUAAUACCGAAUGACGUCGGAGAACCGCAUGGUUCACUGACGAAAGGAAUUCCGGUUUGGGAGGGUCUCGCGGCCUAUCAGCUAGUUGGUGGGGUAAUGGCCUACCAAGGCAACGACGGGUAGCUGGUCUGAGAGGAUGAUCAGCCACACUGGGACUGAGACACGGCCCAGACUCCUACGGGAGGCAGCAGUGGGGAAUCUUGCGCAAUGGGCGAAAGCCUGACGCAGCAACGCCGCGUGCGGGAUGAAGGCCUUCGGGCUGUAAACCGCUUUCAGCAGGAACGAAAAUGACGGUACCUGCAGAAGAAGGAGCGGCCAACUACGUGCCAGCAGCCGCGGUAA
rnacentral:rRNA from 1 species